ACCUCUGUGGUGUAGUGGUAGCACGCAUACCCGUUAUAGAUGAAACUCGGGUUCAACUUCCGCCUGAGGUC